ACCCUGACGCAUCAACGCCGCGUGAGUGAAGAAGGCCUUUGGGUCGUAAAGCUCUGUCAAUCGGGAAGAAGUUAUGGGAGUCGAAUAGGCUUUCAUAUUGACGGUACCGGUGAAGGAAGCAUCGGCUAACUCCGUGCCAGCAGCCGCGGUAAUA
rnacentral:rRNA from 1 species